UGGGGAAUUUUGGACAAUGGGCGAAAGCCUGAUCCAGCAAUGCCGCGUGUGUGAGGAAGGCCUUCGGGUUGUAAAGCACUUUUGUCCGGAAAGAAAUCCUUGGCUCUAAUACAGUCGGGGGAUGACGGUACCGGAAGAAUAAGCACCGGCUAACUACGUGCCAGCAGCCGCGGUAAUACGUAGGGUGCAAGCGUUAAUCGGAAUUACUGGGCGUAAAGCGUGCGCAGGCGGUUUGCUAAGACCGAUGUGAAAUCCCCGGGCUCAACCUGGGAACUGCAAUGGUGACUGGCAGGCUAGAGUAUGGCAGAGGGGGGUAGAAUUCCACGUGUAGCAGUGAAAUGCGUAGAGAUGUGGAGGAAUACCGAUGGCGAAGGCAGCCCCCUGGGCCAAAUACUGACGCUCAUGCACGAAAGCGUGGGGAGCAAACAGGAUUNGAUACCCUGGUAGUCCACGCCCUAAACGAUGUCAACUAGUUGUUGGGGAUUCAUUUCCUUAGUAACGUAGCUAACGCGUGAAGUUGGCCGCCUGGGGAGUACGGUCGCAAGAUUAAAAACUCAAAUGAAUUGACGGGGUCAUA
rnacentral:rRNA from 1 species